rnacentral:rRNA from 1 species
GACGAACGCUGGCGGCGUGCUUAACACAUGCAAGUCGAGCGGUAAGGCCCCUUCGGGGGUACACGAGCGGCGAACGGGUGAGUAACACGUGAGCAAUCUGCCCAUCACAUCGGGAUAACUCCGGGAAACCGAAGCUAAUACCGAAUACGACCACCUCCGGCAUCGGAUGGUGGUGGAAAGUUCCGGCGGUGAUGGAUGAGCUCGCGGCCUAUCAGCUUGUUGGUGGGGUAACGGCCCACCAAGGCUUCGACGGGUAGCCGGCCUGAGAGGGGGACCGGCCACACUGGGACUGCGACACGGCCCAGACUCCAACGGGAGGCAGCAGUGGGGAAUAUUGGACAAUGGGCGCAAGCCUGAUCCAGCAACGCCGCGUGAGGGAUGACGGCCUUCGGGUUGUAAACCUCUUUCAGCAGGGACGAAGCGCAAGUGACGGUACCUGCAGAAGAAGCACCGGCCAACUACGUG